rnacentral:pre_miRNA from 1 species
AGUGGGAUAGCUUGAUCAAAUGGUGGUUCCAGUCCAAGUUUUCUAAGGAAUCUUCAUACUACUUUCCAAAGUAGUUGCACCAAUUUGCAGUCCCACCAGCAAU